ACCCUUUAACGUUUGAUGUUCUAACCCGGGUCCAUAAUCUGGAUCGGGGACCGUGUCUGGUGGGUAGUUUGACUGGGGCGGUCUCCUCCCAAAGAGUAACGGAGGAGCACGAAGGUUGGCUAAGCAUGGUCGGACAUCAUGCGGUUAGUGCAAAGGCAUAAGCCAGCUUGACUGCGAGAGUGACGGCUCGAGCAGGUACGAAAGUAGGUCUUAGUGAUCCGGUGGUUCUGAAUGGAAGGGCCAUCGCUCAACGGAUAAAAGGUACUCCGGGGAUAACAGGCUGAUACCGCCCAAGAGUUCAUAUCGACGGCGGUGUUUGGCACCUCGAUGUCGGCUCAUCACAUCCUGGGGCUGAAGUAGGUCCCAAGGGUAUGGCUGUUCGCCAUUUAAAGUGGUACGCGAGCUGGGUUUAGAACGUCGUGAGACAGUUCGGUCCCUAUCUGCCGUGGGCGCUGGAAGAUUGAGAGGGGUUGCUCCUAGUACGAGAGGACCGGAGUGAACGCACCACUGGUGUACGGGUUGUGAUGCCAAUUGCAUUGCCCGGUAGCUAAGUGCGGAAGAGAUAACCGCUGAAAGCAUCUAAGCGGGAAACUUGCCUCGAGAUGAGUCUUCCCUGACCCUUUAAGGGUCCUGAAGGAACGUUUGAGACUAAGACGUUGAUAGGCUGGGUGUGUAAGCGCAGCGAUGCGUUGAGCUGACCAGUACUAAUGAACCGUGAGGCUUAACCUG
rnacentral:rRNA from 2 species